rnacentral:rRNA from 1 species
AGAGUUUGAUCAUGGCUCAGGACGAACGCUGGCGGCGUGCUUAACACAUGCAAGUCGAACGGAAAGGCCCCUUCGGGGGUACUCGAGUGGCGAACGGGUGAGUAACACGUGGGUGAUCUGCCCUGCACUUUGGGAUAAGCCUGGGAAACUGGGUCUAAUACCGAAUAGGACCGCAUGCUUCAUGGUGUGUGGUGGAAAGCUUUUGCGGUGUGGGAUGGGCCCGCGGCCUAUCAGCUUGUUGGUGGGGUAAUGGCCUACCAAGGCGACGACGGGUAGCCGGCCUGAGAGGGUGACCGGCCACACUGGGACUGAGAUACGGCCCAGACUCCUACGGGAGGCAGCAGUGGGGAAUAUUGCACAAUGGGCGCAAGCCUGAUGCAGCGACGCCGCGUGAGGGAUGACGGCCUUCGGGUUGUAAACCUCUUUCACCAGGGACGAAGCGCAAGUGACGGUACCUGGAGAAGAAGCACCGGCCAACUACGUGCCAGCAGCCGCGGUAAUACGUAGGGUGCGAGCGUUGUCCGGAAUUACUGGGCGUAAAGAGCUCGUAGGUGGUUUGUCGCGUUGUUCGUGAAAACUCACAGCUUAACUGUGGGCGUGCGGGCGAUACGGGCAGACUAGAGUACUGCAGGGGAGACUGGAAUUCCUGGUGUAGCGGUGGAAUGCGCAGAUAUCAGGAGGAACACCGGUGGCGAAGGCGGGUCUCUGGGCAGUAACUGACGCUGAGGAGCGAAAGCGUGGGUAGCGAACAGGAUUAGAUACCCUGGUAGUCCAA